GGGCGGUACUAUGCACACCUUUAUAUUCAGGUGUGCAGCGGUGGAGCUUCCUGUCCUCCGCUCCCUGCUUGCUUCCGUGGUGGCUGUGGUUUGGCAUGACGGCGUUGGUGGACGCAGCCAUUCUCUGGUGUAUCCAGCUGUUGUGAUUGCCGUCAAGUCAUGCUGUCUGAAUACCGUGGCUGAGUGCUGGGGUGAAUUCCCCGGGGUGAAGCGGGGAUCUGCUGGAGCCCUGCUGGGCAUAGGAUCACAGGCUCGCUCUGGGUGUGUGCGCGUGUGUGUGAGCCGUAUUCUUGUGGCUCACACCCUCCAGUUGCCAGUUAACAGCCCGACAUAAUCUGACCGCCACCAUCACUUCAAGCUGAGCUGCUGUUUUGGUUUUCUUUGAUAAUCGUCUGGUGAACUGUUUGUGUUUUUGGUUUUGUUUGUUUGCGGCGACUUGUAGCGGACUUCUCAGCCCAGUACGGCUGAGUGCCGUCUGCGUCCGCUCCGUGCAGAGGCUGGUUGUGUUGCUGCUGUGCCAGAACUUGUACAGCUGCAAGGGCUACUUCACUGGAUGGUGUUUUGUUUUCUUUGUUAUUUGGAAAUUAAUUUAGGAAUUUCCUUUUGGUAUUUUGUUUUGCUUUGUUGCAUUAGUUGGUUUAAUUGUCUUUUUUUUUGUUUUCUUUGUGAGUUUAUUCAGCCUCAUGUAUUGAUUUAAUCCAUCAUUUAUUGUUCUUUGGUUUCGUUUUCUUUUGUCCACACCAGUUAUGGUUAGUUUGGGCACAUUUUAUUAAUCUUUGUCUCUGUCUUCUGUGUAUAGGUGCUGUGGCUUACUGCGGCAGUUAUUUCCUGCUGGUGGUGUCUUCUUCACGGUCCCCCCUUUCUUUUGGUUUUGUGUGUCUGUGUGUUAUUUGCAGUGUCACGGGUGAUUCAUUUGAGGAUUCCUCUCCCCUUUUGGUUAUCCUGCCGCAGGGUAAGCCCCAGCCCGGGUUUUUAUUCCAGUGAAACACACCUGAGCUAGGAUUUCCUGGGUGCAAGUUGGGACCAUAAUUGGUCUCAUUAGGUACAAACAUUCCUCUAAUCUCGCCACAGAGUCCCAAACUGCAAACUCAACUGUUUUAAGACUUCAUUUGUUCCAACUGCCAUCAAAUUCCUGAACAAUGCUGCUUAGGCUGAAGAUUGUGCAAUCAUUUUUUAAAAAAUAGUGUUUUUACUAUGGUGUACGUGUAAUGUUUGGGAUUUGUGCAAUACUGUUUUGUAGUUGUUGAGAUGGCAUUGAUGGCACAGCUUUUGAGUCCAAGAUAAAUUUCCCCAAGUGGUACAAUAAAAGUAAACGUAUUUUGUACAGGAGGAGGAAGACAAGACAGGUCGACAAUUGUUGCUGCAUCGAAUAGACUCAAAAGUGCUGGUUUGCUGGAAAGUAGUUCUGUGGAUCUGCACACCAUUGAUCUUCCUCAGUGAACCAAGUGUAUGACGCAAACUGAUUCUGAAUCUCAAACUGAAUUUGCAACUUUACAAGAAAAAUUAUUUAUUAAUAAUACAGGCAAAUGCAAAUAACAGAAGGCUCAAAAAGACAAACAAUCAGAAAAAUUAAACACUGAUUUUAAGUGGAUAUAAACGUAGAAAACAAAUACAAAAGUGAUGUUUUACGAAUGUAUUUGACAAACUUUACAGAUGUAGCCUACAUGAUUGCAGUGUAAAAUAUGCCACUGUCUGGAGCUCUAACCGCAGUCAUGCAUCACCUUUCAUUACAAUCUGAAUGUUACAAGCAGAGCAAUACCCACAAAUCUAAUGUGCAAGGGCCUAUGUGGGACAAGUACUGCUUUAAAAGUGAUGAACAGAAUUUUAAAAUAAAUGCAAUAAUAAUAAAAUUGUAGCAGUGGUCAAAAUAUCAAUGGUAAGAAAAUAAAUAUAUUAAUAAUUGUCAAAAUAAAAUGGUUAACUGCCUUUAAAACCGUUACAAUGACAUUUGUCUAAACGGCAGGUGAAAGAGUUCCUUUUUACGUUCAGUUGGUCUGAUUCAAUAAUGUUGCUUGUGUUGUACAUGUUCAGAGAAGCAGGACUGUCACAGUAGAUGAAUUAACUUCAAAGAUCAAGUCAAAUUUAAGACUUUAGUCUCUGCUUUAUUUAAAAAGGCAACAUAUUCCACAGUUGUCAUUUUUGAGAUUCAGAUUCCGUACUGAAUAAACUAUUAGAAGUUAACUGAGACUUAAACGUAUUCAAUUUCCAUUGGCACUCAGGUUUUCGACACAAUCAUUUUGAAGCCCGAGUUUGGUCAUCAAGCUUGUCUUCUGUUUUUGAUUGGAGGAAUAUGAUCAGGAUGGAAAAUACAAUAACUGCUGUGUGUAGGUAAUACUUUAUCAGGGUUGUCUUUAGGAAGAACAUUCUUAAAUUUGGCAGUAGGUGGAAGAAAUACAACAUUAAUGAGAGAGCACUUAUCUAAAAAUACUGGUAACCCACUGCUUCUCCCAGAAGGCCAGAGGAGGUGAAAGUGUAUAAACCUUUACUAGAAGAACAGAGUAUGCCCUGGAUAAGAAAAUCCAAGUUGUGAGAAGCAGUAAAAUAACCGGUUAUGAGCUCAAUGCACACAGCUGAUAUGGUGCAGUUUCCUGUAUUACCUAAUUCCUUCUGUUUCUCACUAGCACAGCAUGAAGACUGAACCUGCUACUCCUGAAACAAUAAAACCAGGAGUUGACCAGCAGAGGGAGUUGCAGACUGCAGUGGUUGAGUACUGACGACUACUGAGUUGAACUUUGUGUGGUACUGAAGCUGGAGCGACUAUAGCAAGAAGGCAAACUAAUACAAACAACUGAGGUAUGAAAAGGAGAAGUUGUUUCGAGACUGUUGCCGUUGUACAUCACAUCACUUUACAGUGACCCUGGAAGUAAGAAACGGAUAUUUUUUAAUGAUACGGCAUCUAAAAUGAUUGAAAAAGAGAUGUAAAAUUAGCAUUUUGUUUAAGGUAUGUAUGAAAGCUCUCAUGUGCAUAGUUAAGUUCCUAUGUACACUCAUUGUGCUGUUUGUUAUUCUUUUUUUAAUCAAAUAAUCUUGAUGAAAUUUACAUAUGUUCUUUAUGCAAUUACACAAGUCAAGUUCCUUCUUCCUGUUGGUUUCUCCUUUCUGUCCUUUGUGGUUGAAUGCAGGCUGCAUGACAUAAAAGGAUACAUCAAAAAGUUCUCGGCCUCACCAGAAAACAUCUUGGGAGAAAGACUGUUCUUGCACUAUCUUUCUCCUUUAACUUUGAUGGCUGCAUUGUCCUGGGGUGACUGCACGCAAGCUCAAAAUCUUUUUCUCUUUUGUCCUUAGAUUGCUUCAAACAUUUGAGUUUCUGUGGACAGUAAUGCAAGGCUUUAUAGUAUACAUUAUGCCCCAAAAUAGGAGUUACACCCCUUGUUUCUGUGCGAGGAUGAAAACUUUUCGAAGUACCCUUGUAAUUGUAUUUGAAAAUCAUAUCUACAAACAUGUCUUUAAGUUUCAGGAAGUGUGACCUGUGCACCAGGCACAGAAGCAGGUAAAAGGUGCAGCAGCCCUGGUGAGCAGCACAUGGUAGGCCUGUCGAAACUGUCGGUUCAUGACAGCAUAGAGCACAGGGUUGAUGCAGCUGUUGAGCCAGGUGAGGUUGGAGCAGAACAUUUGCAGUACAUUUGGGGCAUGGUUUUGUUUGUCUGCUAUGUGAAGCAACAGGAAGGGCACAAAGCAGAACACAAAACACACAAAAACAGUUAAGGACACUAUUAUAAAAUAAUUAAAUUAAAAACAUUGAAUGAGAAGGUGUGUCCAAACAUUUGACUGGCAGUGAAUAUGCAUUUUUUUCCAAGUUGCUCAAAACUUGACAUACUCACAUUUACCUUUAAUGUUCUAUAAAGCAAAUUUUGGCUUUUGGAAUAAAUUCCCUGUGAGUCAAAAACAACUCACUUUUAGUGUACAUGUAUGACCAUCGCUUAAACUCCAGAGUAAAAAUAACUUUUAAAAAAAAAAAAAAAAAUUGAUCUUGAACCCCUUUUAAAAACUGAACCCCUUUGUUAAAAUUGUACUCCUCAGGUGUUAAAGUUCUAAUCUGAUAUAGCGUAUGUGUAACACUAAAACUAAAAUAUUAACUCAUUAUCAGUGUCAGGACGAACACUUUAAAUAUAUGUAGUUCAACCCUCUUUUAGAGUUAACAAUUCUAUAUUAUUCAUAUGUUUUAUAUAAAAAUGACUGCUGCGCCAUGUACUCCUUACAACACUUGUUUUAUUUGAAAGAGUAUUGCUUAGAUUUAAACCACCCUCAAGAUUAUAACAGUGCAGCAUAAGUUGUAUAAAACUGUCAGUAACACACACACUGCAUUAGAACAAUAAAAACCUAACAGCACUGUCUGUUUAGUGCAACAUUGUGUAACAUGAGGUGAACAAACUGUUGAAUUUACUUCUCUUGAAGUACAUAAAAACAGGGAAGAAAAACAUCACAUGGAUCCCAUUCAGAUAAAUCAGAUAACACAAUUUUCUGAUACAACAUACAACUGGAAGUCAUAUCCAUAUGUAAAGAACCCAAGAAUGGUAAGCAUACCCAAGUUAUCUCCUGUAAUCUGUACAAACUUACCAUUUAUAGGUUAUUCAGCAAAUGGAACAGGAACCCCAUCAGUUUCAAGCACAGUUAAGUCCCGUAUUAAAGGUUUCAGCAUUUCAUCAAUACCAUAUUUCUUAAUAUCUUGUGCAUCAAACAAUGAUACCAAAUGGAUGUUCUUCAGGUUAGAAUUCAGAGGAAGGUUUCUGAGAAUCAAGUAAAGGUAGCCAACUUUAUAUAUACCUUUUUGUGACCCAUGAGGAUUUACAUAUUCAAAUUUAUCAUAGUAUAUUUGUAUUUGGAGAGCAAAUCUAUGAACCGAAAACAAAGAAUGACUUUUAAAGCGGCUUCUCUCACAGAAGUUCUCUUUUCAUUUAUGAAAAUGAAUUGGAAUGUUUUUAGAAUGGGAACAUAGAUGAAGUCAUCAUUGACAGCAACUUGUCUGAAAGUCCCAGUUGUAUUAUUUCAUCUGGUAUCAUACCAUAUCACAACACCAAUGUGCGGUUCAACUGGCUACACUAUACCCCAUUUGUCCUUGAAAUAUUUCUUCCAUUUAGUAUCAGAAUUCUUCUAUGUAACAGAUGGCAAUGGUUUCAUGCGGGACACAUAUAUUAUCAGUUAAAGCAUGUGUCUUAAUAAGAUGUCUCCUAAACCCAGAAUAACUAGCGAACUGCAAACAAUAAACUGUCUGACUGCAUUUUAGUCGUAGGCUUUUUGCUGGAUACAUUCCAUGAAUUAGUUUUAGGUGACUGAACAAAAGCAAAACUGUACCAAAGGAUGAAGUUCAGAGGAAACAACUUAACAUUCUGGCUGAACAAAAUAGUUACCGUUUGUUCAACAACCUUGCUCUGAGCUCUCUGACUCUUGGAGUUUCUUCAGUUCUACGAUGUCAAUAUUGUACACAGUUGUUUGUAAAGAUGUCUACAUGCUUGACAGGGAAUCAUCAUACUUCACACUGAACACAAAAUGAGACUUAAAUAGCUCAUCAAAAGUCACCAAGGAUGUACAUGACUGACAUGUUACAAGCUUUUUGUCCAAGACAACAUAGAAGGUGGAAACCUUCACUUUUAAAAUCCCUCUGGCAAGAAGAUAUGGCUGAGAGCCUCCUUCAGUGGUCUUCAGAUGGUCCUCAAGGCUUUGACAUGACUGAAGCACAAUGAAAACAUCCACUUAUAAAUAAUUUGCUUAAAAAAUGUUAAAUUUACUGCAAUAUUUUGAAUGAUACAGUGUUAUUCACAAACCUUUUGAAAUUCCACCAGACGAUCUAUUGCCUCAUCAAUGCUGAGUUUCUUGGGCCGUUUUCUUCCAGUUGGUUGUGGUGUGAGAAGAUGCAGCAGGACAAGAAGAGACGACAUAUCACUGUCCCACUCUGGAAAUAGAGUAAAUAAUAACUAGUUAUUUUAAAAUGGGCCAUUUUGUGAAUCUCUAGACUCUGUUACACUUGUUUUAUGAUAAUCUUUUGAAAUAGAAGAGCAAAAGUGUGCUACUUCAAGCAAAUGUUUGUUAGAGACCAGAACAUUCUUCCUGUUAAAUGCUAAACAACAAACUGUUAUGCAAACAGAUUUUCAGUUAUUUAACAAUACAGUUUGUUCUUCUGUCUUCUAGUCAAUUAAAUCCUUCUGCAUCCUGGAGAUUUUAUUUGAUUUUGAUGAUGCACCUGGAUCAUCAGUGGUGUCAGAUCCUUCAUUCAGAGCAGAUGUCGUUUUAGAAGUAAGGUCUCCUUUAGGUUCCUGACCUCCUGGAUGACUUUGUCUUUAAAACUGGUGUUCCAUUUUUGCAAGAACCUUGAUGCAACCUCUUCUCCAAACAUCACUGAGAAGUCUUGCAAAAUCUGAUUUAAAAGGAAAAGAUAGCUAUGUCUGCCACCUAAUGUAAACCUACUAUUUUAAUGCAGCUUUUUAAAAUUAUUUUUUAAUACCUACCAGUCCUUUAGUAUCCAAAAAACAAGGAACCAUUUCUUGUACAUCAGCUGAGUGUUGUGGAUCAUGCAGAAUUUGCUGACGGUACUGGAAGGUUUCGCUCAUCUUCUGGAAGACUAAGUCACGGUCUGUUGCGUGGUGGAGAAGAGAUAUGACUUCCAUACAGUCAUCUCCCGCUUGCUGGUCACCUGUGGUAACUACGGUGAUUCUUCAGGAUGUGGGACCUCCUUUAAUCACAACUUUCUUCAGGGAUGGAGAGGCUGGACUGACAUAGCAGAGUCUUUACAUGAACACAGUGAACUCUCGGCUGUUCAGUCAUUCAACUCAUCACUUUAAGUCAAAAUGCUUCAAGAUAUAAGCGCUUUUGUUUUUAGGUUCUAAAGUGGUUGGUAUGUCUAGCUUAGUCUUGUUUCACUUAUUUCCUGUUGUAGUUUGGCAUUUCCUGUUGUGUGUUUGUAUUCCCCCUCUGUCUCAGGUGUCUUUACCCUCCCCGGUCUUUGCUUUCCUGCCUAAUGUGCUCCACCUUUGUGUGAUAGUCUUCCCUGUCCCAGUGUGUACAUUUACUCAAUCUUUCCACUUUGUCUUGUGCCGUCCUGACAGUGUUCCUUGUGUAUCUGGUUUGGACCUUUGGUUUUUAGGCCUUUGUGUUUCUUUAUUGUUUGUAUUCUGUUGUUUUUGUUUGUUUGUUUGUUUGCUUUUGGAUACUUGAUUAUCUUUUGCCUGUCGCCUGUGCUUUUGUGUUGUCUGGAUUGUGUUUUUCUUUUUUUCUUUGUAUAAGCUUGGAUUAAAGCUUGCUUUUUGUUCCUUUGUUUUUUGUUUUUUUUUGUUUGUUUUUUUUUUGUUUUUUUUUACAUUAGUUGUCCCUUUCUCCAUUUUGGGUCCUUUGGGUUUUUUAAUGACAGUAAAAACUAGCCCAUUAUGAGCCCAGCAGACCUUUUUCUGGACAGUGAGUCCUACGAUUUUUAGAUGGACCUAAUCUGUAUAUACGGGGAAUGGAAAAGGGCCCCCAGCAAGGAUUUUAAUGCUGUUUAUCUGAGGCAUGCAUAAAUGCUACACAUGCCUUAGAUGAGGGGCACAUUACCAGAGUAUAUCACAGAUGUCAUCCUAGACUUGUUGCUCCAUGCCAGCUCCUCAGUCAGUCAGAAUCCUGUUUCCCAGUCAACUUAGCCCAUGCUAGCUCCACAGCCAACCAGCCACCAGCCUGCUAAAUCCCUGCCAGCUCCUGAGUUAGCCAAACUUGGGCCUGUUAGCUCCACAGGCUUUAGAGUGACUUUAACUUCCAGCCUGUUAGGCACCAGGGAGUUUCAAGUCCUGUGUCGACUAACCUGCUACCUGUCCCCAUCCUGCCCCUCUAGAAACCAUCUCUGAUGCUGCCAAUGUAGCUGAGUAAAUAACUGGAUGUAAUGUAUAUUUUUGGUGAACCUUCUCAAAAUGUGUAUUUUAUUUCCGUUAUUAUUUGUGGGUUAUUUUUGCGUUUCUUUUGUCAAGUAGUUUACAGUUGUCUGUAUAUGGUUCCAGUUUACCUGUUGUAGCGGGGGGGUCAUUAAUUAGUGGCACACACGUCCGAGGCACACGUGACAAAGCUGUGUAUUCCUGGCGAAAGCUGGACGGCUUCUGAUGAGGUAGGACAUAUGAUGAUGCUCUCUCUCCUAAUUGUUAAUCUAGUGGCCAUAAAAUAUUCAAAACUCUCUCUCACUCUUCAAAACUUCAUAAAAACUUAAGAAAUAGAUGCUAAUGAUUUUUUGAGUGAAUUUUGAUUUUAAUUUUGAUCGGUUAAACUUACGUUUUAAAAAUGAUUUUCUGACAAUUACCGCGGAGUAUUCUCAUUCGCAUGUGUUUGACCUGCUGCAGGAGAGAGAUAGACUAAACUGCUGCCUGUGUGUGUGUCGCUGUAUUUUGACCUGUGCCUCUCCUUUAUAGAAUAAACGUGCUGAUCCUGUGGAGUGUGAGCGAUCAUUUUAAGUCUGCUACACCAAGGAGUCUCCUUUCUGAGGGAUUCACCUAGUCAUUAAGCCAACCCCCAAUGAAUGCAAAGGUCCCAGUCACUCCACAUCUCCAUUUCUUCCAGCUCUUUGUCUUUCCUACUAGACAAGGCUGUUGGACUCUACAGCAAGUCAGAAAGCCUCAAAGUUGUAGAGCCCAGUAUAUGUUCCAGCAGAUCUGAACUAAAUCAGCCAAUUUCCUGCCAGAUCCUGCCCAUCGUGAUUCCCUCAAGACACCUUGACCUGGGAACUCUUCAGUAGGAAGCCAUAUUACAGACCUCACCUCUCCAAAGUGGUCCCCCGUCAACCAGUCCUGCUUCCAUUCAGAUUCUUCAUCUAACGAGGGUUGAUACCAUCUCAUCUGUCCCUGCCUCAACCAGUGUCAAGUCCAGGACCCAGCCAGAGUCAGCUGACAUUUCCUCUGGUCCAGAGAUGGCUACUGAGUCAGCUGACAUCAUUUCUCCUGCUUUGCAGUCAGGUGACCUCACCAUAGCUCCAGACUCUCAGAUUGCUCCCAGCUCGGUCCUGUCUGUAUCAUGGCCUGUCUCGCUGCCUUCAUGGACCUCUGACUCACUGCUGUCCCCCCAGUGGAGUCCUGCCUCCACUUGUGCCGCUGCCACCAGCCUCUGCUGCCGGUCUCCCAGAGAGGUGAAUUGAUUUCACUAAAUUCCUUUAUGUUUUACAAUGUAUGUCAAAGCAGAAAAUCACU